rnacentral:rRNA from 1 species
AGAAACUAACAAGGAUUCCCCUAGUAACGGCGAGUGAAGCGGCAACAGCUCAAAUUUGAAAUCUGGCGCAAGCCCGAGUUGUAAUUUGUAGAGGAUGCUUCUGAGUAACCACCGACCUAAGUUCCUUGGAACAGGACGUCAUAGAGGGUGAGAAUCCCGUAUGCGGUCGGAAAGGUGCUCUAUACGUAGCUCCUUCGACGAGUCGAGUUGUUUGGGAAUGCAGCUCUAAAUGGGAGGUAAAUUUCUUCUAAAGCUAAAUACUGGCCAGAGACCGAUAGCGCACAAGUAGAGUGAUCGAAAGAUGAAAAGCACUUUGGAAAGAGAGUUAAAAAGCACGUGAAAUUGUUGAAAGGGAAGCGCUUGCAGCCAGACUU